GCGGCCACGCCGGAAGUCGGCUGACAUUCAUUCAUUCACACACACUUUUUACCCUUGAGUGAACCUUCUGCCCUAUAUCUAUUCUGUGGUGAAAACUCGAAAACUACAAAAUUUGGAUCCAGCGAAUUUAUACAAUAUAGUGGAAUAUAAACAAGGACAAGUUAAAGGUUUGACAGAAUGACAGUUUGACUUUUUAAUUAAAAAGUAUAAAUAUACGUUGUAGGAUCAUAAACAUGCGUUGUACUCUUAUAUUUAUUCUGCCUCGUCCCUCUUCGCUUCAGUUGGGAAUAGAGAUCCGUGGAAAAACAAUGUGGUGAAUUCCGGUCCGUUCACACUGAAUAAAUCACAUUUUUGAGUUAUUUUCACUUCUUUAUUUAAAACUAAAUAAUAUCAUAAAAGUUCUCGAACACACCACAAACACGAUUUUUAACGUCACUCGUUACCAGUUCUCCUGUGAGCGCUUAACAGAAUAUUAAUAAUAUUAACUAAUGAUAAUAUCAUCAGCAAUUUUCUACACUCUCCCCCCAUUAAAGUGUUUAAACUGUUACAGCUUUAAUGUAAGUUUUCAGCUAGUCCUAUAACUCAUUUAGCAAAACACCCUUGAUCACGUUAAUCGCUGCACUUUUUGCUUUCCUCUGUGGUCUUCUCUUCGACUCCACAUCUUGCGACUGGUCGGCUACCACUUUAUUCUCUAUGUGAUCUCUCUUCUUCGACGGCUCGUUAUCCUUACAUACUUUGAUUUCUAGGUUGCAGACCAAUUGUAUUGGUCGUUCAACAACAUACCCAGUCCCAGUCUUGAUCUUGUAUCCCCUCAGUACUCCAUCUUUUCCUUGAAUAGUAUCAACAAUCCGUCCAACUUGCCACUUUGAUUUCGUUUUACUGUUGUCCGUAAUCAUAACUACCGAUCCCUUCGAAGGCAACGUUUUGUCUUUACCGACAAUCUUUCGGUGUCUUUCUUCCAGGGCAUGGAGAUACUCCGUCUGCCAACGCUUUCUUAGUUGCUGCCGACAAUUUUUCAAAAAAUUUAUUCUUUUAGUUAUCAGAUCUUUCUCAUCCAACGCCUCCAAGUCUUCCUCUAAGAAAUGUGCUGAUGUCCCAUGAAUCAAAAGAUUAGGCGUGAGAAUAGGAUGUUCUAUUUCUUCUUCUUGAUAGCAGAGCGGUCGAUUAUUCAUGAAACAUUCAAUAUCAAGUAGGACUUCUUCUAGUUCUUCAUAUUUGAGUAGAGCCCGUCCUACCACUUUAGACAGACUAACUUUCAUGAUGCCGACCAUUCUUUCGAAGAAUCCGCCCCACCAUGGGGCCCUCGCGAGAUUGAAACUCCACUCGAUUCGUUGUGUAGUCAGGUAGUUAAACAAGUUCUCAUCCUGUAUAAGCAUAUCAAGCCAUUGAUGUGCAGCCGUGAAGGUCAGGGCGUUGUCACUC